rnacentral:rRNA from 1 species
CGCAGCCGCGGUAAUUCCAGCUCCAAUAGCGUAUAUUAAAGUUGUUGCAGUUAAAAAGCUCGUAGUUGAAUUUCGGGGUCAGCAGGUCGGUCGUGCCUACGGUAUGCACUGGCCUUGCUGAUUCCUCCCUCUUGAUGAGCCGUAAUGCCAUUAAUUUGGUGUUGCGGGGAAUCAGGACUGUUACUUUGAAAAAAUUAGAGUGUUUAAAGCAGGCAAGCGCUUGAAUACAUUAGCAUGGAAUAAUGAAAUAGGACGUUCGAUCCUAUUUUGUUGGUUUCUAGGAUUGACGUAAUGAUUAAUAGGGAUAGUUGGGGGCAUUAGUAUUCAAUUGUCAGAGGUGAAAUUCUUGGAUUUAUUGAAGACUAACUACUGCGAAAGCAUUUGCCAAGGAUGUUUCAUUAAUCAAGAACGAAAGUUAGGGGAUCGAAGACGAUCAGAUACCGUCGUAGUCUUAACCAUAAACUAUGCCGACUAGGGAUCGGAUGAUGUUAAUUUUUAAUGACUCAUUCGGCGCCUUAAC